AACAUGCAAGUUGAACGAAGCGCUUAAAUGGAUUUCUUCGGAUUGAAGUUUUUGUGACUGAGUGGCGGACGGGUGAGUAACGCGUGGGUAACCUGCCUCAUACAGGGGGAUAACAGUUAGAAAUGACUGCUAAUACCGCAUAAGCGCACAGUGCUGCAUGGCACAGUGUGAAAAACUCCGGUGGUAUGAGAUGGACCCGCGUCUGAUUAGCUAGUUGGUGGGGUAACGGCCUACCAAGGCGACGAUCAGUAGCCGGCCUGAGAGGGUGAACGGCCACAUUGGGACUGAGACACGGCCCAAACUCCUACGGGAGGCAGCAGUGGGGAAUAUUGCACAAUGGGGGAAACCCUGAUGCAGCGACGCCGCGUGAGCGAAGAAGUAUUUCGGUAUGUAAAGCUCUAUCAGCAGGGAAGAAAAUGACGGUACCUGACUAAGAAGCACCGGCUAAAUACGUGCCAGCAGCCGCGGUAAUACGUAUGGUGCAAGCGUUAUCCGGAUUUACUGGGUGUAAAGGGAGCGUAGACGGUUGUGUAAGUCUGAUGUGAAAGCCCGGGGCUCAACCCCGGGACUGCAUUGGAAACUAUGUAACUAGAGUGUCGGA
rnacentral:rRNA from 1 species